UACCAGCGCAAAGCCGAAACUCGCCCGCAAACAGGCUCAGGAGGCUGUGAGUCCGCAGCAGCGGACCCUGGGAAAGCAAGCGAGUUGACGCCACAGCAGCCUUUUGAAGAGGAAAAGCGGAGACCCUCAGCUACAGAUCUUCGAAAUUUCUUACAUGACUUCUGAUCUUCACAACUGUGCAAUCCAUUUUCAAAACGGGAAAAAGACUCAGAAAUCAGAAGUUGUUACGUCUAGAGUCGCUUAUUCACCAUAUUUCAUUGUCUUGAUAGCAUCACUAGACCAUGCAUAAUUCAUGCAUGGGUGUGUUUUAGGGACAAAAAAGUCAAGUAGGAAGAAAAGACAGAUGAUCAAGAACAGAUGAAGAUGAAAACCAAAGAACGACCUACCGAAGAAAGUACCAUUUGAGUCUCCAUCCUCAUGCUUCUGCUGCUGUUGCUGCUGCUGUUGCUGCUGCUCCCUCAGCUGCAAGGAUUCCUGACAAACGUAAAUGGUUAGCCUUGGACGCACCAUCCUAAGGAGGAAAAAAGAAAGCUG